rnacentral:rRNA from 1 species
GUGGGGAAUAUUGGACAAUGGGCGAAAGCCUGAUCCAGCCAUGCCGCGUGUGUGAAGAAGGUCUUCGGAUUGUAAAGCACUUUAAGUUGGGAGGAAGGGCAGUAAGUUACUACCUUGCUGUUUUGACGUUACCGACAGAAUAAGCACCGGCUAACUUCGUGCCAGCAGCCGCGGUAAUACGAAGGGUGCAAGCGUUAAUCGGAAUUACUGGGCGUAAAGCGCGCGUAGGUGGUUUUGUAAGUUGGAGGUGAAAUCCCCGGGCACAACCUGGGAACUGCCUCCAAAACUGCAUGACUAGAGUACGGUAGAGGGUAGUGGAAUUUCCUGUGUAGCGGUGAAAUGCGUAGAUAUAGGAAGGAACACCAGUGGCGAAGGCGACUACCUGGACUGAUACUGACACUGAGGUGCGAAAGCGUGGGGAGCAAACAGGAUUAGAUACCCCGGUAGUCC